AAAAAAAAAAAAAAAAGGGUCAUAUCAUAUGGCCACUACCACUAGGUUGUUAGCCUAGUCUUUGUCUUUACAAAUGAGGCGACUCAAUUACUUUAUCGGCGGCCUGCAGUGAAACUAUGGGUGGGUAUCGGAUCGGAUUUGGAUAGAUCUGAUCCGAUCCGCAUUCUGUUUCAAAUCCAAAUCGAUAUAAUCUGUGCAGUCUGAUCAGAUUUGAUUCGGAUCGGAUCGGAUCAGAUUCAGAUUAAUUCGAAUAAUCCAAUCGGAUUGCACUACUCCUUAAAAAAAAAGUAAAAAUUAAAUGAAAAAUUGAAAACUUAAACAGUUAAACUUAAUUCCCAAAUCACAAAACAACCCAGCCGCACGACCACAAAACAAACCAACCUACGACCACAAACCACACACACAACGACUUACGCCGUCGACAACACAAACCGAACGAACCCAGUCGUAUCUUGAUCCACGUCCAGCUGCCACUCACGACGAGCAGCUGACAGCAACAGCAACCUCACGACUACUGACUCGUUCAUUGUGUAAGGUUCCUGUCUUUAUUGCAUGAUUGUCUAAGGAUUUGAAUGUGUAGUAUUUGAUGAGCAAAUCAAGAAGACGAAGCGUGAACACUAGAUUGAAGGCUGCUGCAGAGAGAUAAGCUCUCGGCUUACCCAUAUUUGGAUGUUUAAUUAUCAUAUGACACCCUGAGCUUCUGAUAAUGAAGCUAAUGAAAGAAUUGUGUAAGGACUUUUGUUUUCAUUAAUUCUAGAUUUCAUUAAAUUUUUUGUAUUGUCAAAAAGGCCCAAAUCCGAAUUCAAUCCGAACCGAUUUGAAUCCAAACUUAACCGAAAUAUUCAUCUAAUCCGAAUCCGAUCCGAAUUAUUUCGGAUCAGAUUAGGUCCG
rnacentral:lncRNA from 1 species